UACGAAGGUCCCAAGCGUUAUCCGGAAUUAUUGGGCGUAAAGGGCUCGUAGGCGGUUUGUCGCGUCGGGAGUGAAAACCAUGGGCUUAACUCAUGGCUUGCUUCCGAUACGGGCAGACUAGAGGUAUGCAGGGGAGAACGGAAUUCCUGGUGUAGCGGUGAAAUGCGCAGAUAUCAGGAGGAACACCGGUGGCGAAGGCGGUUCUCUGGGCAUUACCUGACGCUGAGGAGCGAAAGUGUGGGGAGCGAACAGG
rnacentral:rRNA from 1 species